rnacentral:rRNA from 1 species
GACGAACCACACAAACGUUAUUCGGAAUUACUGGGCUUAAAGGGUGCGUAGGCUGUGCGGAAAGUUGGGUGUGAAAGCCCCCGGCUCAACCGGGGAAUUGCGCCCAAAACUACCGUGCUUGAGGAAGACAGAGGUGAGCGGAACUUCGGGUGGAGCGGUGAAAUGCGUUGAUAUCCGAAGGAACACCGGUGGCGAAAGCGGCUCACUGGGUCUUUUCUGACGCUGAUGCACGAAAGCUAGGGGAGCAAACGGG